CUCCUCCCCAUGAAAAGCAUAUCCCUGAGGAGCUCACUUUUCCAGCUCCAAUACCCACCUGCUGCUUUGUCCUGGCCUCAUGAUUGUCCUUUGAUUGCCCAGGUGGGAGGAGGUGUGCGUCCAUAUGCCAAAAGUGCUGAAAAGGAGUGGAAAGGUCUGACCCCACCUGCUGUACUUUUGAGCCUUAUUUUCAAUGUAUUUCACACAAAUUCAUUAUAACUAUUUUUUGCCCUGCUAGCUUGAGAAAAUAACACCAAGUUACAUAUGAUUGCCUGACAACAUUUUUACAUGCAAUAGCUGAAAUAAUGCUGUACUUUAAGGAGUUAUUGCCUGUGCUUUUCCUUGCCCCAAAUGAGGAGCAAGUGACCAACGAGAUGCCAAUUUCUGGUGUUGUAAAAACCCAAUUUUUGUUUUUUGUAGGUCAGAGACCGAUGGGUCUGAAAUGUUACGUAGACGGAAGAAAUCAGCAGUGCAGAGUCCCAAGAGAAAGAGAUGUUCCCCACAGAGGCAGCUGUUUCUCUGCCAUGGAAGUGUUUCCAUAAAAGCUUGGGACAGCCACAUCAAGGAAGAUGGCCUGAAAGAAAACUGUGCAAAUUAUACUGAGCACACCUAAAAUCACUGUCCUGGGGCAAAACACUGAGCUCACUGCAGAAACGGGGGAGCUGCUGACAGGUGAGAUUAAUGGAUGUAGAGUUUUUGGGAGCACCUCCUCCAAGCAAAGCAUGGAGUCAUGCGAGGGGACAGCAUCCCUUUUGGGGUGUAUCUGUCUUGUGUGGUGCACCCACCGAGCUGCAAGUCCCCAGCAGAAUAUUUCAGUCUGCCAGAGAGUGCUGCAGUGCUGAGCUCAUGCUAUGUAAAUGAUUGUCUGAUGAAUUAUGUGCUGUACACACUACACACAAAUCCUGUCCCGACCAGCCCUGGAAGAAGAGAUCACAUUCUUGCUGGUGUGUCCUCUGCUCCAGGAAACUUGCCAGGAGGUCACGCCAUAAUUCAUGCUCUGCUGAUGCUUUGUAAAAGUUGCAGCCUGUGCUGUGGCUGCUGUGCUGCUGACCCCAGCAUCGGUGUCCCCUUCUGAUCCUGGUGGCUGACUGCAUCCCCCUACAUAGCCAUGGGGAGCCCGGUGUGUACACUGCCCCUCCAGCUGGAACAGCAGCACAGACACCCAUCAGCUCAGGAGCAGAUCAGGGCUCUCUGCUUUGAGGCUUCCCUAAGCUGGCUCAGCCCCUGCUUUGCCUUCCUGCCCCCCCAUGGCUUGCAGCUCAAUAAAGAAAGCAAGGUGAUAAUUCAUAGGGUUUCUCCUUAACUAAAGGAUCCAUCCAACCAAUCUGAAGAACCUGUUUCCAAUAAGCAGUAACGACCUAAAGCUUAUCAGCACUUAAAUUAAGCUGCUUCAGAACUUGCCAUAAAGCAGUACUGUUGCAUCUUCCAGGAGAUAGGGCCGGAGAUCUAGGAGGUUUCCUAUAGUGAAAAGGUAGGCUAAUGGUAUAGGAGGACAGAGGAAUUUCAAAAUAAAUUAAAAUAGGCCAAGAUGGUGUGGUAGACUUGGGGCAGAAUGGUGAAAAGAGUUUGGUAAUGAGGGUUUCCUUCCACCUCUGUACAGGAGGUUCCCAAACAAAUCCUGCCCUUGGGAAAGGCCAAGGUAAGAUGCGGAGUGGGGCAGGAGGGGUACAAGCUGCUUGCCUGGUAGUGUUGCUCUGGUUUUUGGAGGUUUCUGCUGCCUUGGAGGUUCAUUUGGGGGACUGAAAUCUCCAGUCUGUGUGACCCAAGUGUGGGUCAAGAGUGACACCCUGUGGACAAGUUCCUCUUUUCCUCAUCUCCUCCAAGAUUUCUCUCCUGCUGCUGCACUUUAUUUAUUCACCUCCCUUAUGGUUUUCUUGCCCCCCACCUUUCCCCUCCUCCCCUGCUUGCACACCUUUGUUUGUGCCCUGCUCACGCAGGCGUUGUUCCUGCUGUAAGCUCAGCCAGCCCCAGGCAGUGCAGAGUGAUCAAUGUUUCUCAUCCCUAAAAAGUGAGGAGAUGAGGGGGUAAAAGCCCCAGUCCCCACUUUGUUUCAUUUAUAUAUAUUUUUAUUUAUUUAUUUUUCCCUGUACUGUACUUGGUUUCAUUUGUACACCUCUGAGCCCAGCUGGCCCUCCUGGCCCCCAUCGGUGCCUCUGCUUUCCUGCAGUGUUUCAGCUAACCCUGGUUCCUCUGCUGUGCAGCUCAUCAGCUGGAGCGUGGUGUGCUCCUGGGGCUCGUAAAUUGAGCUGCUGCUCUCAACAUUUGGCAAGCAUGAGCCCAGACUGUCUGUUGCAUUGGGAGAGAAUCUGCGUGGGCUUCCCUACAGUCACCCUCAUGCCCUGGGUGAAGAUUCCUGUCAGAACACAAGAAUUUGUCAAA